UCUGCUGAUAGAAGCCACACAGGAAACACCCCUGCUCACUGCCUUUGCACUUCAGCCUUCAAUCUGCAGGAAGACGACAUGGAGGUGACAGCUCUGUGCAUCAGAUGAUGGGAACAUAGACUCACAUAGCAAAACUAACAUGAGAACACCAACACCAGCACAUGCACCAUCAACAAUGUUUAUCCAGAUGACAGUGGGGAGUACUGGUGUCAGGCUGAUGGAGGGAACAGAAGCAACAGUAUCAACAUCUCUGUCAUUGGUAACAAGGAGAUAUGACUCUGUGCUGCAAAAAGAAGAUGGCUUCUUCCACCUUCACAACUGAUUUCAAUUAAUCUGGACGUCACAUUCAUUGGAGAUACACUGAGAAAUGCUCAUCCACAGUGUUUCCAAGGACUUUACGAGUGUAGCAUUUCACGAGCUAGAGAAUCACCUGAGAGCUUGCUCAGUGUCACAGGUGUUAUGCUGCUUUUAUAUUGUCUGAUAUAAGCAAAUGAAGCAGGUGCACAAAAUGUCCCCCUGUGUUUUUACUAGCUCAUAAUGCUAGAUGUGUAACAUUUUAAAUAUUGUCUUUAUAUAAAGAAGCUUGAAUUAACAUUUAGAUAUUUUAUCUUCCCAUUAAAAUUGUUAUCUUUUACACAUUCAGCAACUAAUCCAGACAUUUACAAAGAGACGAGACUUUGCUCCUCUGGUAACAUACCAUGGCUCAUUGCCACUACUGUAUUCAGUGCUCUGUUGUUGUUGGUGGGAUUGUAUCACUGUAGCAAAUGUUGCUGGGAGAGAGGUAAAGAAAACUUUGCACAUACAUUUUAUGUUUAUUGCGUUUGCU